rnacentral:rRNA from 1 species
CAGAGAUGCUUUGGUGCCUUCGGGAACUCUGAGACAGGUGCUGCAUGGCUGUCGUCAGCUCGUGUUGUGAAAUGUUGGGUUAAGUCCCGCAACGAGCGCAACCCUUAUCCUUUGUUGCCAGCGGCUCGGCCGGGAACUCAAAGGAGACUGCCGGUGAUAAACCGGAGGAAGGUGGGGAUGACGUCAAGUCAUCAUGGCCCUUACGGCCAGGGCUACACACGUGCUACAAUGGCGCAUACAAAGAGAAGCGACCUCGCGAGAGCAAGCGGACCUCAUAAAGUGCGUCGUAGUCCGGAUUGGAGUCUGCAACUCGACUCCAUGAAGUCGGAAUCGCUAGUAAUCGUAGAUCAGAAUGCUACGGUGAAUACGUUCCCGGGCCUUGUACACACCGCCCGUCACACCAUGGGAGUGGGUUGCAAAAGAAGUAGGUAGCUUAACCUUCGGGAGGGCGCUUACCACUUUGUGAUUCAUGACUGGGGUGAAGUCGUAACAAGGUAAGCGUAGCGAG